UACGUAGGGGGCAAGCGUUAUCCGGAUUUACUGGGUGUAAAGGGAGCGUAGACGGCAAUGCAAGUCUGGAGUGAAAGGCGGGGGCCCAACCCCCGGACUGCUCUGGAAACUGUAUAGCUGGAGUGCAGGAGAGGUAAGUGGAAUUCCUAGUGUAGCGGUGAAAUGCGUAGAUAUUAGGAGGAACACCAGUGGCGAGGGCGGCUUACUGGACUGUAACUGACGUUGAGGCUCGAAAGCGUGGGGAGCAAACAGG
rnacentral:rRNA from 1 species